AUCCUGGGGGAAGGAGAAAUAAAAAACAGUGCACAAUUAAUUCCAUCCCCAGUAGAAGGCAAUGAAGUAAAAUGGAAAUAAUUGGAAUCCUCAGAUAAUCUGCCAGUGGCCUACUUAUAUUCUAACCUGUUACAUCAGGCCUUGAACAUUUUUUACCGCUCUGACAUUGCAAAAUAGAAUCUUUCACAUAUGACAUCUUAUUUGAGGUUUGCAAUACAUCUGAGGGGAAGGUAUUAUUACCCCAAUUUUAAAGAUGAAAAACAUUAAAUAGAACCAGGGACCAAUUUGCCCCAAGGUAAGACUUGAUUUCAGAUUUCUUUUCCAUUAUAUCCAACUCCCACACCACCUCCUCAGUCCCUCUGUGGGAUAUGAAUUGAUAAAUUCACUUUCAAAGUUGCAAUUUUCACAAGUUCAAUUCUAUUAGGAUUUUGUUGAUGUUGUUGAGAGGCAGUAGGUUGUAUGUCUACGGGCUUUGAAGGUAGACAAGUCUGGGUAUAAACACUUCAGUCCUGUGUCUUUUUACCAUGUGGUCUGCAGUAGAUCACUUCUUGGAAGCCUUUUGUUACUGUGGUAAUAUUAAUCUUGAAACACAUGCAAAACUUAAAUAAGACAAUGUGUAUAAACUAGUUGGCAUUGAAAUCGGUGUCCCGUAAUUUGUCUUUGUCUUUUUUUUGAAAUAGAAAUCUAUUUAUAUAAGUGUUUAUUUUAUUAAAUAAAAUUUCCAAUUUCAAUGGAAAUGGGAUAUCUUUUUCACCUUGUACAUAGUUCUAUCUAUCUAUGUCUGUCUGCCUUAUAUAAUAAUUUAUGUACACCCCAGAAAUGCUAAUUUCUCGCUUUGCUGAACAGAAUUUCAAGAAGCACUUGAAGUCUCUUUUUUGAUAUGGUAUUUCAUUAAUGAUAUGGAAGAGUGGGUGAAAAUGUGCCAUUGCUCAACAUUGGUUUCUUUUGUAGGAGGUUUUUUAAAAAAGCUAUGAAGCCCUUAGCAAUUCAUAAUUGCAUUUGAAAGGAAAAAGCUUAGCCUAAGUUUUGAUUUGCUUACCUUAAGCUCCUCGGUUUCUAUGAAGCCACUGUGAUCAGUAUCAUAUUUUCUCCAUGUCUGUAAUUUUGGAUAAGAAAAACAAAAUUAAAAGAAGAAAGUUGACAAUUUUUGCACAUUUAGCAGCUUUCUUAAAGUAACAUCUUUCUUCUACCUUCAUGAAUUCCUCGCAGGACUUCAGCUGCUGGCAUCGGAAGAGUAGCAGGAAAUUUUCUUCUGUGGGUAAUACGUGAGCCAACUGGAAAAGAUUUAAAAGAACGGAAACACUGUGGUAAAGAGCUUGAAAACAAAUCUCUGCUAUCACCUGCUGCUUGGUUUGGCUUCAACAUGUUCCUAAGAAGCAGUUUUUUUGCUCAGAGAAGCAGGAGAGGAAAAAACAUGAGCUGAUGUUCUCUUUCUGGUAUUCUGCUCCUUCAAACUCUUUCGGGUUUUCUGUUGCUCAUGUGCUCUUAAGUGCUUGGUUCUCCCGUCAGUGAAACAGCUGAUGCAGGACCCUAUCUUGUCUAUGCACCUACAAGCAGAAGUACCCUGGCGGCUUGAACCCUUAGUAUUCUGUGCUACGAACCAAGUCUCUUUCCUCUCCGGUUGCACAGAUGGCACAUUUGGCCAUGAAUUUCAUGCGAAAUGGAGGAAACAAGAAUGUAGGGGAAAGGAGGGAAUAAAAAAAAAAGGUGCAUUUCCAAGUCGGAGGGAAACGUCUACUAUGAGAUGCAAGAGACGGUAAACUGAAGACAACUGUAAAGCUGCAGGAAGAUAGGCUGAGAGACAAUUCACAACUAGUGAGAAACCGAACAGUCAUCAGAGAAGUCAAGUUGUUGGGUUCCGUGAAAAGGACAUCUACUGCUUGAACCCAGGGCUUAGGUUAAUUUUUGAUCUUUACUGUCUAAGUCUAUGACAUUUCCCCUAGAUUUCUAUUCAUAGCUUCAAUACUUCUCCUCCCCACCUUUUUUUGGAGGGGGGAGAGGACUCUGGAUCCCGUUUUAAGACUAAUAUAAUCCAUCUAUUGCAUACAGAGGAGGAGGGAGUUGGAUUGAUGGCGCCACUGCAGAUGUGAAUUCUAUUUCUGGAUUAGCUGCUAAUGAGCUGUGGUCCCAGCAACUCCCUCAGCCAUUUUUGGACCUCAGUACCCUCCCUCAUCACUAAAAUAAGUUGAAGAAGAAAUUAAUGUCUCUUAAAUGUACUGGGUUCAAAACACCUUCUGUUGGACUCAUUGUGUCUUCAACAUUAAAGAAUGAACCUACAUACACUAUACUUCACCUAAUUUUUAGAAGUUGAUUAAUUCCCUGGGGCACAGAUGUGAACCCCCAUUCCUCCAGUGUAAAGCAAGAAUCUGUCGUCUAGAGUAACUUUAAGGUUAGUAUAAGUCCUAAAAAUGUUACCAUAUUAGAUUAUCACACCUAUUUUUUAAAAAGUGUCAUCAUCUUAGGUUUGUUUAAAAUUUAAUUCAAAACAACAUUUUAACUUAAAUGCAAGCAAUCUCAUCUUCCUAUGCCUGCAUAAUAUGUCCUGUAAAUUAUCUUGUUUUAGAUCUUUGAAAUAAUACUGCAAGUAAAAACUUUAGUUUUUGGUCAUACAUGUGGGGGUAAGACUAAGGCAAAGGACCAAAUAUCUUAUUAGGAUGUUUAGUAAGACUCAGUUCAGAAAACAUCUUAUUUUAAAGCAAAGGUCAUGAGUGUGGGUAGAUACUAAUAAAUCUAAAAAGUAGAAAUAGGAGUUUAGGAUUUGCAGUAAUUUUUUAAAAACCUAGUGAGCUUUUUGUCCCAAAACACAUAUACACUGCUGGGUGUGUAUAUGUGUGUGUCUGUGUGUGUGAGAGAGAGAUAUCGAGAGAGAUCCAGAUCUCUUAAUACAUUCAGGACUCUUCUAUGGCUUUUGAUUUCUCUGAAUUCUUAAAUCAUAGAAUUAUAUAAUUCAGAAAUGAUGCAAUUCAAUUUAAUUUAAAGCCCCAAUUUUUGAGUUGAGGAUGCUAAAACCCAAGAGAUUGAAUAAUUUGGUGAUUGGAAGACUUUGAAAAAUCAUUUUAAUUUGCUGCUUAUUAGAAAGUUAAGUCAGCAGCAUGCUUCUUAAAGACAGAAAUAAGAUAGGUUGUUUCUUCAAUCUUACAAUGCAAAUAUGGCUAAUUUUUACAUAUGACAAGAUAGUCUGGAUAUGAUAUGGAUAUUUUUUCAUUUCACUGAAAACUAGAACACUAUUUUCUUUAUAACAUCCCCUUUCCACUUCUUCUGUGAGUGGGUUGCUAGUGGAAAUCGAACCAUCUCAGGUUCAUAAAUUAAAGUUCAUGUAACUCAUAGAAAGUUUAGAGGUCUCUAGAAUGUCAAACAUAAAGAGGGUCAAAUUGUUAGUCAUGUCUAAGGUCAAUGUGUAUUCCUUGGCUCAUGCUGUUUUGUUCUUUAAUGAUUAAAAAUGAAAGAUUGUAUCUAUAUGUGACAUAUUCAUUCUUUCUCAUUUUGCUGAACUACUAAUGAUAUACUCAACACAGUACUGCCCUAUUUUACAAACAUUGGAAAUGAAUCUUAAACAUGUAAAUUAUUGUUAUAAGACAAACCAGUCAUUAAAGAUCAAUGAAUAUAUAUGGAUAGGAAGAAUGUGGCUGUAGUAAACAUAAAUCCUUUUUACUGUGUGGUUUAACAUUGUGGUGGUCCUGUGUUGUAAUUGAUCCUUCAGAGUGGGUAGAGUAAUUUUCCAGCUGCAAAAUCUAAGACCACAUCAAUAUGGGUCUUCAUAGACUGUAUUAAGUAGGGCUGCAUUAUUCUUGGAUUUGCCAUGUCACUGUUGUCCAUAGAAGUAACCAGUACUGCCUAUUCUAAGAUGCUGGUAAUUUCUAGUCCUUAGCCAUUACCAAACUUUUUUUAUUGGUUGCAGAAGAUAGUGGAGAAUAUCAAGAGGAUGAAUGGAAAGAGGAUCCCUGUAGACACAAACAGAAUCCCUCAGAUCUUCACUUGUGAGAAUUGUCUGCUACUGAGACGGGGGAAGUAAAACUUUCUAUUUAUCUAUGUUUUACUUACUGAGUUUUUUUGCUCAGCAACUGCACAAAUUUCAGUAAAUAUUUAUUGAUGCAGUUAAUGAAGGCAAUGGACUUUUCUAGUGUCAGGAUAGGCUAUAAGUAAAUGGAAGUAAAAUUCCAUGGGAGAUAAUUCAAAUAACUUAUUAUUGAUCUGUGGGUAAGGGUUGGAGUAGACGUUAUGAUAUGCUACCCAGAGCUCCUUCAGGUUCUGGAGUAUGCUGUGACCUCAGCUAUCAGGCUCCUUUGAGGAAAUGCCUGGGCUGACGACAGUUGUGACCCCAAGAGGUGGCUUCCCAUUACAAACCCACGCAGGAAUAUAAAGGCCUGAAUUUCUCAUUCAACUUGGGAAAUCUCCGAAGGGUCACCCCUGCUUCAGAGCUCACUGUAAGGUUAGCCAAAGCCUCCGUUAGGAUGUCAUUUCCCAGCAUCUGCUUUUGUCCAGUCCUGUUCUCUUUAUGCAGGAAAUGAUCUCAAAGCACUUCCUAAUCACCCUCUUCAAUAUUUCUCUCCCACUCAAAUCUGCUUUCCAGGAAACUCAAUAACUUUACAUCUUGUUCUUUUUCUGGAAUAGUAUGGAGUCCUUGUCUUAAGUUUUGGAGUUGAUGUAAAUCUCUCUCUGUGGUUCAUUUGGCUACUAAAUACUAGGUCACUCUGUUACUAGCUGGUGAUUCAUAGUCACCAUAUUAAGAAUCUUACAGGGAGACAGAUGACUUCAACCAAAUAUUUUUUUCUUAACAAUUUCAAGCAGGAGAUAGAUAAAAUGAUAAAGUGCUUAAGUGCUAGGUGUGAGAAGAGUUCACAUGAUGGGAAUUUAAUUAGAGAUAUAAAUGACUGAGAUACAUAAAGUAUAUGAAGCACAAUUCCUAACUUCUAAAGACAAUCCUGGUGUAUGUUCACCUUCUUGAGCCCAUUAGCCAUGCAUUCCCUUUUUCAUUUGAGAACAAGGGUAACAUUAUCCUAGCCAAUAAGAAGUGAGUUCAGAAAACUUGCAAGGCAAAUGAUCUCAUACAUUUCAGGCUACUUGAGUCUAAUGAUUUGAAUUUGACAAGUUAUAUAACAAAGUGGUGGGAAAGACUUGAUAUUCAGAAUAUGUAAAUUUUCUAAUAAGUUUUUUUUACAUUUAAUAAUAAUAACAAACAUUUAUUAAGUUUUUACAAUGGGCCAGGAUUGAUCUAUUUGUUUGAUGUAUACUAUCAGAUUUAAUGUUAUUACUCAAAACAACUUUAUGAAAUUAAUACAUAGUUCUCUCUAUUUAGAGCUCAGAAAAUAGAGGCUCAGAGAGGAUAAAUAGCCUGUUCUUACUUAACUUGUAGUUUGAGCCACAUUUGAAGUCAGUUUGACUUUCUCGAUUUUGAGAUCCUUGUCCCUUACAAGCUUCCUUAUCCUCCAUUUAAAUGUUCAAUCAAAAAUGUUUUCCUAAUAAAUUAUUUUUAAAAAUCUAUUCAGAGCAAAAUUUUGAGUCAAAUUUUAUUGUCAGUCAUUUACAAAAAUUAUAAGGUGGAUAGAUAAGUAGUCUGCUGUGAAAUACUAUAUUCAUCCUGCCUAAACUUAUAUGCACAAAUCCCACUGUGGAAAGAAAGAAAAAAUUCGCAAGAGAAGUGCCUGUUUUCCUGGGAGGGUUGUUACACUUUUAGGAUUAAAAUAGCUUUUAGAUCUAUUUUUUUCAGUGGAUGCACUGACCUGAACAGAUAAAAAUACUAAGACUGGAGAAGAUGGUAGGGUCCCAUACAUUGCCCAAGGGAUCAGAAAAAAGCUUACAGAUAUGACAUCCAGCUAAAGAAAAUAAGUAUACUUCUGUGAAUCCCAGAAAAGAAAAUUCUGUCCCCUUCAAAUCAUUCAGUCUCCUUAUUUAAUUAUUUUAAUUAGUUUUCUUUGCAAUAGACUUACUAGUUUGCAUACACUUAGAACAUUUUUUAAUUGUGGUAUUUGUUAAAUUAUUUCAGAAUUUUAAUGCUUCUGUUUUGAAUUCAUAUUAAAAAUCUUGUUAUUACUGAACUGAAUUUGUAUGAAUUUUAAAAUCCAUUUAAAUACAUGAAAUUAUUCAUGUAUUCAUGUUCAGAAAAAAGUCAUUUGUGCACAUUACUUUUUACACAUUACAUUUGGAAAGAUGGGGGAUUCAUAUUCUUUUAAAAUUGGUUAGGAUUUGUGUCUUUGUGUUCCAUAUUACAUGUAGGAUUUCUAAGCAAGUAAUAUAUUUGGAGUUGGAUAAAGAAAGGAUGAGCAUCAUUUAACACAACUUUCUGGUGACACCAGAGGUCACACAGUGAAGAUAAUGAAGUUCUGAAAGACUUUGAGGAUCUUGUACAAAGUCACAGAGUGAAAGACUGACAGGAAAUUAAGCCAGAGGAAGAAGGAGUGGGCUGAGAGGACUACCCAAACCCAUUGUCUUGCUGCUGGUCCACUGCUGGAUCAACCCCAGGAUACUGCAGAGGCACACUGUGAAGAGUCUUCUGGGGACACUGAAGCUCCUCUGAUUGAUUUCCGAGCGAAGAUGGCUUGUUCAGUGCCUUCCUACUCAAGGAGCUGGAGACUGAGCUUCUUCCUUUCUUCAAGGGAGAAUAUAAGUCUGGAUAGAAAAACUUGACAUUUGAGAACAACAUGAAGUCCAGAUUGAAUCUAAAUUCUCCCAUUUAGCAGCUAAGUUUAUUAACUUAUGGAAUUAAGUUAUUAACUUAUGGAAUUAAGUUCCUCACCCCAAAAUUAGUUACUAUUGUCUUUUUUCAUAGUUUUGUUGUUAUUAAAGAAAUAAAAUACAUAAAAUGAUUGACACAUUGUAAAUGUUGAAUGUUGGUUCUUCCCAUGGACUCUAAGCUUGUCACAAAUCUACAUCUGUCCCAGUGGGUUUACAGAAACUUUCCAGAGGUGCUUGUGGGGGUUGGGAGAUCUGUAUUUGAGCAAAGCAGGCAGUUACAUUAAAAAAUGUUUCCAUAUUGAAA